rnacentral:rRNA from 1 species
UUUGACCUUUCGUCACAUUUUCUACCUUCCACCUCAGAUAAGAGCAGAUUACGCUCCGAAUUUAAGCAUAUUAGUAAGAGCAGGAAAAGAAAACAACAGUGAUUCCACUAGUAACGGCGAGUGAAGAUGGAAAAGCUCAGAUUUAAAAUCCAAUGAAAGUUGGAGUUGUAAUCUUUGGCAUGAGUCUACCAACGUCCUUCUCUCUCGAUCAUGAAUCAUCCAUGGAAAGGGGAGCCACAGAGCGUGAAAGCCGCGUUUGCGUGGUCGCAGAGAGGAGGAACCAAUAAGUGAGAUUUGUGCUUCGAGUCGGGUUGUUUGGGAUUGCAGCCCUAAGAAUUGCGGUGUUAGACCACAUCGAAAGCUAAAUAUGGAGAGGAGACCGAUAGCGAAGAAGUACUGCGAAGGAAAGGUGAAAAGGACUUUGAAGAGAGAGUCAAAUAGAACUUGAAAUCGUCAAGAGGGAAGGGAAGUCGACGGAAUGAAGCUUGCAUUUUCAAAAAGACAGCAAUGUCCAUUUGGGAGUGUGGCGACCAUGCAGUAGUUCGAAAAUGAUCAAAAAUGGUUUUUUGGAAGAGGACGAUAGUUUACGCUUUCGAGACCGGCCAAAUUUCACUAAUUGAUCUUUUGGACUAUGAUUCGCGAGUUUGGGAGAUUAAUCGAAGAUUGGAAACGAUCUUGACCCAAUACCGUUUGCAGGUAAUUGAAUGCCGUCGACUACCACCCGUCUUGAAACACGGACCAAGGAGUCUAACGAUUAAGCGAGGGUGUUUCGAAAGAAUCGAAAAUCCCGCAGAGAAGUCGAUGAGAUUGAUGGGUGGAUCAGAAAUGAACGCUUUGCAAAUCUCGGGUGAGACCCUUUAGGGGUCUUGCAUCGCUAGUUUAACCGUUAGGACCCGAAAGAUGGUGAACUAUUCCUGCACAAGAUGAAGUUUUGAGAAAUCAAAAUGGAGGUCUGUCGCGAUGCUGACGUGCAAAUCGCUCGUUUGAUGUAGGUAUAGGUGCGAAAGACUAAUCGAACCAUCUGGUAGCUGGUUUCCUCCGAAAUUUCUCUCAGGAUAGCAGGCGCUCGUUAUGCAGUUGUAUGUUGUAGAGAUGAUGUUUAGGGUAAUGGGGGACAAUUGCGUCCUUCAACCAUUCGCAAACUUCGAAAACGUACGAUAUGAUGAUUGCUUAAUUGAAUUAUCAUCAGAAUGUGAGCACCUAGUGGGCCGUCUUUGGUAAGCAGAGCUGGCGAUGCGGGAUCAACCGAACGCAAAGAGAAGGUGCCUAAAUUUACGCUCAUCAGACAAUCGUAAAGGGUGUUUGUUCAUAUAGACAGCAGGACGGUGGUCAUGGAAGUAGAAAUCCGCUAAGGAGUGUGUAACAACUCACCUGCCGAAUGGAGAAGCCCCGAAAAUGAAUGGCGCUUAAGCGUAAUACCGAUACUUUGCUAUUGAGGUAUAAAAUAAAUCUCAAUAAGUAGGAGGACGUCGAUAUUGGGUCGAAGGGAUUGGGUAGCCAAUCUUGGACCAGUGUCGAGUGCAGAUCUUGGUGGUAGUAGCAAAUACAAAAGAGAGCACCUUUUGGGCCGAAGUGGAGCAAGGUUUUCAUAGAACGACAUUCGGUAUGAAGUUAGUCGGUCCUAAGGAAGGUGGCGAAGGCCAUAUAAAGCUGACGAAAAAUAGCAAUAUUGUACGUUGGUCCUCCGAAAGGGAAUGAGUUUAAAAUCACUCAACCAUCGAUCGCAUGAGAUGUGGCAACACUUAAGUAUGUCGAUGACGCCUGCCAAAUGACGUGGAAGAGUUUUCUUUUCUUUUUAACUGUGAAAAAGAGGAGUGCGGAAUGGAAUUAAUCCGAGAUGCACUUCAAACACAGGAAGAGUCGAGACGCUUUUGUUUCGAUCACUGUAACAUUUGGUUGGUCCAUGAAAAAUCGAUAGUAACUACUCAAAACAUGUUCGAUCGUGGCCGUACUGAUAACCGCCUCAGGUCUCCAAGGUGAGCAGCCUCUGGUCGAUAGAAGAAUGUGGAUAAGGGAAGUCGGCAAAAUAGAUCCGUAACUUCGGGAAAUGGAUUGGCUCUAGAGCAAAGAUGGAGGAAAGUUGAAGUUGAAGUUUGGCUGGAAAUUUGGCUGGCAACGGCUGAACUUUUGGAAAAAUUUUGAUUUUGGCCGAGGGGCAACUCUCAUCCUCCAUCAUCAUUUUGCAGUCUAGAACCGUCACGGACAACGGGAAUCCGACUGUUUAACUAAAACAUAGCAUUAUGAUGGACGGUGAACGUUGAUGACAUAAUGUGAUUUCUGCCCAGUGCUCUGAAUGUCAAUUUGAAGAGACUCAAUGAAGCGCGGGUAAACGGCGGGAGUAACUAUGACUCUCUUAAGGUAGCCAAAUGCCUCGUCAUCUAAUUAGUGACGCGCAUGAAUGGAUUAACGAGAUUCCCACUGUCCCUAUUCACCAUCUAGCGAAACCACAGCCAAGGGAACGGGCUUGGCAACAUCUGCGGGGAAAGAAGACCCUUUUGAGCUUGACUCUAGUCUGAAACAGUUGAAUGGUACGGGAGGUGUAGAAUAGGUGGGAGGCGUUAAAAACCGACGAUGAAAUACCACUACUCCUGAUGCUAUUCGACUACGGUAAUUGGAAACGGAGCUUGUGAGAACAAGUUCUUCUAGAAAGAAGAGAAUGAAAUGAAUUGGGCAAAUUUAAAAACGUCUUAAUUCCUCUGCUUCUCGUCGUUUGAUACCAAAUAUUUCAGGUGGGGAGUUUGGCUGGGGCGGCACAUCUGUUAAAAUGCAACACAGGUGUCCAAAGGGGAGCUCAGAGCGGACAGAAACCACUCGUAGAGCAAAAGGGCAAAAGCUCCCUUGAUUUUGACUUCCAGUACGAGUACAAAACGUGAAAACGAGGCCUAUCGAUCCUUUAUCUUGUGAUGGAACAAAGUUUCACGAUAGAGGUGUCAGAAAAGUUACCAAAGGGAUAACUGGCUUGUGGCGGCCAAGCGUUCAUAGCGACGUCGCUUUUUGAUCCUUCGAUGUCGGCUCUUCCUAUCAUUGAGAAGCAGAAUUCUCCAAGUGUUGGAUUGUUCACCCGCUAACAGGGAACGUGAGCUGGGUUCAGACCGUCGUGAGACAGGUUAGUUUUACCCUACAGAUAAAUUAAAUUGAACGUUACUCCGAUGGUAAUACAAGUCAGUACGAGAGGAACCCUUGUAUCGGAUAAUUGGUGUAGAUGCUUCUACGAGAGUAGAGUGGCAUGAAGCUACAAUCCGAUUGGUUACAGCUGAACGCCUCUAAGUUGGUACCAUGUCCAGAUAAGGAGUGAUAUUGAGAAAUGAGUGGCAGAUGAAACAAGCAGCUAGAAAUACCUCAAAACAGAACAAUUUGGGAGGCAGUGGUGGGCGACUAUUGUCGUUCAUCCUUCCUUCUAGAAUCACAAGA